rnacentral:rRNA from 1 species
UACGUAGGGGGCUAGCGUUGUCCGGAUUUAUUGGGCGUAAAGAGCGUGUAGGCGGCCAGGUAGGUCUGGUGUGAAAACUCGAGGCUUAACCUCGAGAUGUCAUCGGAAACCAUCUGGCUAGAGUCCGGAAGAGGAGAGUGGAAUUCCUGGUGUAGCGGUGAAAUGCGUAGAUAUCGGGAGGAACACCAGUGGCGAAGGCGACUACCUGGCCUGUUCUUGACGCUGAGGCGCGAAAGCUAGGGUAGCAAACGGG